GUUUUAAAUUAGGAGGAGAGGAAGUAAAAGGGAAGUGAUGGUUGGGGCGUUAGGGAUUUAGAAGUCGCCCGAAAGGCGCUCUUCUACUGCAAAGUAAUGAUCUUAAAGUGCACCCCACACACAAACCAUGAGUGGGAACUUCAAUGUCACUCGGUAGUCUUCCCCUCUCUCCCCGCUUUUAGUUGUAGUCCCGCUCUCUUGCGUGUAAAACUACAUUGAGACCCCCAGCUUAGGAUUAUGACAGAGAAUCAUAGAAGAUGUCUUGGCGCGAAAUAGGUCAAUGGACCAGCGGCCCCUGGAACUUGCACUUUAAAGGAGGACGUCUUUGUGCCUGCGGAAGAGAGCGUGAUAUCCCAAAUUAAAGUUCCUCCAGGCACGAACUUCCCGUAAGACGGCGGAGAAGGGGAAGGGCAUAGUUCGAAUCCUGGACCAUCGAGACAACGUGCCAGACGAUUUAGCAGUCAAACGUGAAUGACUUCUCCAAGAUUUACUGUGUCCAGACUUCUCCAAGAUUUACUGUGUCC